GCGGAGGUUCUCGAGCGGUCAAAGAGGCUAGACUGAGGUUCUAGUGCGUAGAGCUCCGAGGGUUCGAAUCCCUCCCUCCGCA
rnacentral:tRNA from 2 species